GACGCUGGCGGCGUGCCUAACACAUGCAAGUCCGAAGCGCGAUUUAGUUUGGAUUGGAGACUUCGGUCAAAGAGAAGACUAUGAAAGCGGCGGACGGGUGAGUAACGCGUGAGCAACCUGCCCUGUACAGGGGGAUAGCCACUGGAAACGGUGAUUAAUACCCCAUAACCCCAAAGGAUCGCAUGGUCCAAUGGGCAAAGCCUUGGCGGUACAGGAUGGGCUCGCGUCUGAUUAGCUAGUUGGUGAGGUAAUGGCUCACCAAGGCAUCGAUCAGUAGCCGACCUGAGAGGGUGAACGGCCACACUGGAACUGAGACACGGUCCAGACUCCUACGGGAGGCAGCAGUGGGGAAUAUUGCACAAUGGGCGCAAGCCUGAUGCAGCAACGCCGCGUGAGUGAAGAAGGCCUUCGGGUCGUAAAACUCUGUCCUAAGGGAAGAAGAAGUGACGGUACCUUAGGAGGAAGCCCCGGCUAACUACGUGCCAGCAGCCGCGGUAAUACGUAGGGGGCAAGCGUUAUCCGGAAUCACUGGGCGUAAAGGGUGCGUAGGCGGCUGAUCAAGCCAGGGGUGAAAGGCUGUGGCUUAACCAUGGUAAGCCUUUGGAACUGGUCAGCUUGAGUGCAGGAGAGGAAAGCGGAAUUCCUAGUGUAGCGGUGAAAUGCGUAGAUAUUUAGGAGGAACACCCGUGGCGAAGGCGGCUUUCUGGACUGUAACUGACGCUGAGGCACGAAAGCGUGGGGAGCAAACAGGAUUAGAUACCCUGGUAGUCCACGCUGUAAACGAUGAAUACUAGGUUGUCGGGGGGUCAAAGCCCGGGUGCCGCAGCUAACGCAUUAAGUAUUCCGCCUGGGGGAGUACGGUCGCAGACUGAAACUCAAGGAAUUUGACGGGGACCCGCACA
rnacentral:rRNA from 1 species